CCCACCCCUACCUCCCUAACAGCCUUCUCUUUCACUUUUCUGUGCUGAAUUAAGAUGGUCUGAAGAUCUUUAAGAAAGCCAGGAUACUAGUACACUUGCAUGGAGGAAAAUGGCUCUCUCCCUCAGUGUAUACCUCCUCACUGCAGCCCCCUAAAUCAAUAAUUGAGGAAAUUAUAUGGUUUACAGUUAGAAGACUCUCUGUGGGAGAUGAAGGAGCAAGAUCUCAGCUACGCAGGAUCAGAAAUUAAAUCCCAAAUAGAUUGUGUCUACAAGCUGAUGUUCAAUAUUUCGCAGAAUUAGAUUGAUUAUCAUGCAUCAGGGACUGCAAAUGCCAAUCCGUCUGCUCUCUGCACAUGGAAACCCCAUAGGAGAUAAUUUACACAUGGCUGUGAACAGUCAUUUUGUCAACCAACACUGCUCCUCCCCACGAAUCUCAUUAGGCCUGAAAUAAAAUUUCCAGACAUCUCGUCCCCAUUCACUGUAUGGGGUCAUCUAUCUGAUGACGGGCAUCAUAGCCCGAAAACGUUUACUCACAUGAGAGAAUAAAGCACUUUUGUAACAC